UACGGAGGAUGCGAGCGUUAUCCGGAUUUAUUGGGUUUAAAGGGUGCGUAGGCGGAGUGCCAAGUCAGCGGUAAAAAUUCGGGGCUCAACCCCGUCGUGCCGUUGAAACUGGCGCCCUUGAGUGGGCGAGAAGUAUGCGGAAUGCGUGGUGUAGCGGUGAAAUGCAUAGAUAUCACGCAGAACCCCGAUUGCGAAGGCAGCAUACCGGCGCCCGACUGACGCUGAAGCACGAAAGCGUGGGUAUUGAACAGG
rnacentral:rRNA from 1 species